AGCUUUGCGCAGUGGCGAUAUCGUAACCAAUGAGGCUUUAGCGAGGUGCGAUUAUUGCUAGUUGAAAAAAAAAUUCAACAACGUAUAUUAUAGAUGACCUUUUUUCAUUUAAAAGUUCAUGACAGGUUAAAAGACC